ensembl:lncRNA
UAGAAUUCAAAGUGUGCACUUUAUGAAACUGGAGAGUGUUCAGUUUUCAAAUUUAAAAAUAGCCAUAUUUGCUUGGUCAAAUUAGUAUAUCUAUAUAAAAAUCAAAACAAUACAUGUAAGUUUUUAGGGGAAGAAUGAAAAUUUUUCCUACAAUUAUACUUAUGGAAAGAGAUUUUUGUCCCAUCAUAAACUGUCAAGAAUAGAGGACUUAUUCAUCUAGAAUUUUUUUCAACUCUUCAAAAUCAGUUUACCUUUUCUUUUUAAAAUGUAAUGUGAUUUUCAUUCCUGUUAUUCACCAAAUAUUUCUGUUGUAUGGCCCUGUGACUAGUUCCUGGUGAGUGAAUUGUGAGUAAAAGAGGCUUCUGGUUUAGAGCACUUAAGUUUCGAUGUGAGCAUCUUUAGAGCUCUCUUCUGUUUGGUAUGGUGACUAGUCACAUUCGAGAUGGUGAUUGCCCCAGCCGUCUGGGUUCCUGAGUGACUUCUACCAUAUGAACAAAACCUCUGGGUUUAUUUACAUGGGCAUGUGAGGGAGACAUAAAUAUUUUGGUACAAACUACUGCAGUUAGGGAAUUUUUGUUUUUCGUGCCUAACCUAACUUAUCUUGACCAAUACAGGAAUGAAUCCUGAAAGCAGAGUGCUGCCAUUAAAAAAAAAAUCUAAACUAAACUACCUAUUACAGUGGCUUGGGUGAUAGAUGGUAAUGCUGCAUGAAGUGAUCCACAUUCUACCAUGAAGAGACAGCAUAUGUCCUGACAGAGAGAGAGGGAGCACUGAAUAAACUGUUGGCCAGAAAGGUGAGCUGUGAUAAUCAUUAGGAUUAUUCACCAUAGAAUAGUGGUUUGUCCCAGAGGAUCAGAUACAUAGCAGGAUUAUGGUUCUUAUGAUUGAAUGGAGUCAUAUGUGUCUGGUUCUUGAUUGUGAAUUGUGGGGAAAUAUAACAUGUCUCUUCUGAGCUGAAGCAUUAAAUGUGAGGCCUAGAUUUUUGUCUUUUCCUUGAUUGUCUUACUGGCAGUUUGAGAAGGUGGCUGUGUCAUCUGAGUUACUAGGAUUAACAGAAUAGUUAUCCUUCAACUUGCAGUGGGCAUUUAAAUGAAUGAGAAACCUCAAGUUCCAUCUAUUUAUGCAUAGAUGCCUCAAGUUUACCUUUCUUUAAAACUGUGUAGUACCCCAUUGUGUAUAAAUACAUUUUCCUUAUCCAUCUAAAACUACAAUGAGAUACCAUCUUACUCCAGAAAGAACGUCUAUCAUCAGAAAAUCUAAUAAUAACAAAUGCUGACAAGGAUGUGGGGAAAAGGAACUCUUCUGCAUUGUUGGUGGGAAUGUAAACUAGUACAACAAGGAUCAAGUAAUUUUCCAAGUAAAGAUAGUGUAUGUAUUCCUGGACAAAAUUCAAGAUAUGUAGAAGUGUUUUAAAAAAAAAUAUUGAGCAUCCACAGAAGAUUUGCAAUGUAUAGCUUUAAAUUAAAGGCUUAAGACAUAACAAAUAAGCAGCAAAACAUGAAAAUAAUGAGGAAAAUAGUCAAAACUGACACCAAUGUCAGUAUUAGCACAAGAUUAAAAAUUACUGUAUCUUCAGAAUGUUAAGACAGUAGGUAAAAAACUGGAAGAGCUAACCAAGAUAGUUCAAAACUUAAACAACAGAUUCAACAAGGAUGUGGAAUCCUCUAAAAGAUGUCAGAUGGAAAUACCUAAAGUAAACAGUAUAGAAUUCAUACACCCCAGAAAUGACCAUCAUGAACACAGAGUAUCAAAUAUUGAUGGCAAAAUAAUGCAUUAUGAUAAAAAGCUCAAAGAAGCCCAAAAAGAAAAUAAGAGAACAAGAGAAGACUAUCCAUCAGCUACUAGAUGACAACAAAAAACCUCAUGUAAGGCUAAUCAGAGAGAAGCUAGAAGACUACAUAGAUGGACUUACCAACAUGCUUACAGAAAUUAUUGAAGAAAAUUCCCCAAAUAUAAGAAAAGAGUUAAAAGUAUAAAUAAGUGAUGCUUAUAGAACACGAAACAAAUAUGAUAAAAGGAGUUCACCAAGGCAUAUUCUCAUUAAACUUGCAGAUACCCAGCAAAAACAAAACAACCAGAAUUUUAAAGGCAGCCAGAGAAAAACAAAAAAUCAUAUACAAAAGUAAACCAAUUAGAAUCACAGCAGACUUCUCAGCACAAACCCUCAAGGCCAGAAGAGCUUAGGGUGAAGUGUUUUAAGCCCUGAAAACAAAUAACUUCCAACCCAGAUUAACUUACCCAGCAAAACUGCCCUUCAAAAUAGAUGGAGAAAUAAGGCAUUUCUGUGAAAAGCACCAGCUCAGAACAUUUAUGAGUGCUAACCUAAUUCUAGAAAAAACACUCAAUAUUCUCAACAGAAACAUAGGACUGGACACCCCUAAAAACAGAGGAAACUAGUAAGGACACUGGAUAAACAACAAUAAAAACAACAGGAAAAAGGCCGGGGAUUUAGCUCAGUGGUUUCGCCGCCUGCUGCGCAAGCGCAAGUACCCAAGAUCGAUCCCCAGUACCAAAAAAAAACCAAAAAACAAAAAACAGGAAAAGUAAAAUAAUAUGCCAAGAGAUAAAGAAGACAAUGAUAAUAAAUAACCAACAUAUCUCAAUAAUAUUUAUCAAUGUUAAUGGCCUCAACUCUCCAACAAAAGACAGACUGAUAGACUGGAUCAAAAACAGAAUCCAACUAUCUGUUGGAUUCAAAAUAUUCAUCUAAUCCAAAAAUAUAUUCAAGACUAAAAAUUAAAGGAUGGGAAACAUUUCAUGCACCAGGACCCUGAAAACAAGAAGUAGCAGUUCUGAUAUUGACAUGGUAAAUUUCAAGUCAAAACUGAUUAGAAGAGACAAAGAAGGUCACUACAUGCUAGUUAAAGAAACAAUCUAACAAGAAGAGAUAACAUUGAUUAACAUAUAUGCACCAAAUACUGGAUCACCUAUCUUCAUAAAACAGUGCUGAAAUUAAAAGAUCAAAUAAACAUUAACACAAUCACAGUAGAUUUUAACACCCUACUUUCUCAAAGAAACAUCAACUGAACAAAACAUUUCAGAGCUGAACCACACCCUUGAACAUAUGUACUUAAUAAUAUAUUCCACCAAUCUACAACAGAGUAUACAUUCUUUUCAGCAGCACAUGGUACCUUUUUUGAAAUAGAUCACAUACUAGUCCACAAAGCCUGCUUAAGUAAAUAUAAAAGUAUGAAAUUACCCCAUGCUUACUAUCUUACCACUGGGCAAUGAAAAUAGAAAUCAAUGACAAGAAAAUUUGGAAAAGGCGAAAGCUCCUGGAAAAUGAACAAUAUACUCCUAAAUAACCAAUGGGUCACAGAAGAAAUCAAAGAAGAAAUUAAACAUUUUCUGAAGGUUAAUGACUGGAACUCAACAAUACCUUUGGGACACUUUGAAUGCAGUUCUAAGAGGAAUAUUCAUUGCAAUUAAUGCUCACAUUUGGAAAACAGAGCAAGCCCUGUUGGGUACUAGGCUACGUAACUCAGAUCUCAGUCUCAAGGUCCAUGUUAUCUUGCCUCAGGAACAGGAAAGUAUGUGGAAGGCCACAUACCCCUUGGCUAUGAGUGGAAUGCUGAUAACCAGUAACCUGGCACUCCUGAGGCAAGACAGCUUCUGCUGAGGACAGUUGUCAAUACACAGGCAGUUGGGUGUACAGAAAGUUUUGUUCCUUAUUAACUUUACCCACCCAUUCUCUAAGGUGCUGUUCCCUGAAACUCACGCUGCCCCUCCCCUGCGCUCCUCAUUGCCUAAUAAAAGCUGGUCCGCUGUGGAGCUCAGGUCUGUCCACUACAGGCAAGCAGGUCUCCUUCUGGUCCCCCUAUAUCUUGAAAAUUGUCCCUGUCUCUUUCUUUUCAUUCUUCAUUGUUCCCUGCAAAAGGAUAGCUGAGGGUCUAAUCAGCCCUCGGUAAUUGGGACCUCAGAACAGGGACUCUGAGACCUGAAGGGGAAGACCUACUGAAGUGCGAAAGGAACAGAAACAGAUGUUGGGGAACUCCAUGGGAUGAAUCCAGAAGCCAGCUGUUUAAAAAGGUGAAACAUUGCUUCACUCACUUUUGGAACUUCAGAAAGCACUGGAUUAGAUCUUUCCGCAGCCCAGAGAGUAAUGCUUAGGGGAGCUCUGGCAUAUUAAACAUCUUACAGGCAUUUCCUACAAUCCUCAAGGCCAAAUUCCAAAAGUGGAACAUGCACAUCUCUCCUUAAAAACCAAAUUACAAAGACA